AUACGGAGGAUCCGAGCGUUAUCCGGAUUUAUUGGGUUUAAAGGGAGCGUAGGUGGAUUGUUAAGUCAGUUGUGAAAGUUUGCGGCUCAACCGUAAAAUUGCAGUUGAAACUGGCAGUCUUGAGUACAGUAGAGGUGGGCGGAAUUCGUGGUGUAGCGGUGAAAUGCUUAGAUAUCACGAAGAACUCCGAUUGCGAAGGCAGCUCACUAGACUGUUACUGACACUGAUGCUCGAAAGUGUGGGUAUCAAACAGGAUUAGAUACCCUGGUAGUCCACACAGUAAACGAUGAAUACUCGCUGUUUGCGAUAUACAGUAAGCGGCCAAGCGAAAGCAUUAAGUAUUUCACCUGGGGAGUACGCCGGCAACGGUGAAACUCAAAGGAAUUGACGGGG
rnacentral:rRNA from 1 species